CCUACGGGUGGCAGCAGUGGGGAAUAUUGCACAAUGGGGGAAACCCUGAUGCAGCGACGCCGCGUGAAGGAAGAAGUUUUUCGGUAUGUAAACUUCUAUCAGCAGGGAAGAAAAUGACGGUACCGGACUAAGAAGCUCCGGCUAACUACGUGCCAGCAGCCGCGGUAAUACGUAGGGGGCAAGCGUUAUCCGGAUUUACUGGGUGUAAAGGGAGCGUAGGCGGCGAUGCAAGUCAGAAGUGAAAGCCCCGGGCUCAACCCCGGGACUGCUUUUGAAACUGUAUGGCUAGAGUGCAGGAGAGGCAAGUGGAAUUCCUGGUGUAGCGGUGAAAUGCGUAGAUAUCAGGAGGAACACCAGUGGCGAAGGCGGCUUGCUGGACUGUAACUGACGCUGAGGCUCGAAAGCGUGGGGAGCAAACAGGAUUAGAUACCCGAGUAGUC
rnacentral:rRNA from 1 species